rnacentral:rRNA from 1 species
UAGUGACAAGAAAUAACAAUACAGGGCCUAACGGUCUUGUAAUUGGAAUGAGUGAAGUAUAAACCCCUUUACGAGUAUCAAAUGGAGGGCAAGUCUGGUGCCAGCAGCCGCGGUAAUUCCAGCUCCAAUAGCGUAUAUUAAAGUUGUUGCAGUUAAAAAGCUCGUAGU